rnacentral:misc_RNA from 1 species
AUUAAAUCCACUGCCAGGAAGACACGGGGUCAUACUUAUUAAAGUGGCGAAAGUGUUGAACAAAAUGGAUGCUUCCAAGUUUAUCCUAAUUGGUUUGGUGCUGACCAUUUGUGCUUUCAUAUUUCAACUUAUUGGUUUAGCGUCCCCGUAUUGGAUAUUUAUCGAGUCCGACGGAGACAAAGUAUAUAGUGGCUUAUGGAAAACCUGCGCUUAUUCCAAAUUGUUCGAUAAAAGUCAAUGCUUUGAUUUGCCACUGAUACCAGAAAAAGCAAAAGAUCAUUUGUUAUUUUGCAGAUUGGUUAAAAGCUGUAAGAGCUACGAGUAUACUAGGAUUAUUAUUAGUUUUAGUUGCUCUAGUAAUGUUAAUUCUAAGAAUGUCUGUCAUGAAAGAUAGGAAGCCUGCCUUGCUUGCGGCAAUAGGAACUACUUUUGUUGGAGCACUUUUCAUACUGGUUUCAAUUGCUGUUUACGCCUCUAAAAAGGAGGAGUUUGACAAGGGAACGGUGACCAUAGCUAAUUACCAUUUUGCCUUUGCCUUCAGUAUAAUAGCAAUGUUAGCAGCGCUUGGUGCGGGAGCAAUUAUGAUGAUCGAAGUAGUAAAAUCUUAAAAUUGUAAAUUCGACAUGAUUAAAAAGUAUUGUAUUUUGUC